rnacentral:rRNA from 1 species
UCCAGACUCCUACGGGAGGCAGCAGUGGGGGAUAUUGCACAAUGGGGGGAACCCUGAUGCAGCGACGCCGCGUGGGUGAAGGAGCGUUUCGGCGCGUAAAGCCCUAUCGGCAGGGAAGAAGGAGGACGGUACCUGACUAAGAAGCCCCGGCUAACUACGUGCCAGCAGCCGCGGUAAUACGUAGGGGGCAAGCGUUAUCCGGAUUUACUGGGUGUAAAGGGGGCGCAGACGGCAGCGCAAGCCAGGAGUGAAAGCCCGGGGCCCAACCCCGGGACUGCUCUUGGAACUGCGCGGCUGGAGUGCAGGAGGGGCAGGCGGAAUUCCUGGUGUAGCGGUGAAAUGCGUAGAUAUCAGGAGGAACACCGGUGACGAAGGCGGCCUGCUGGACUGCGACUGACGUUGAGGCCCGAAAGCGUGGGGAGCAAACAGGAUUAGAUACCCCGGUAACU